GAUUACCAGACUACUCCACUGGGAGACA
rnacentral:misc_RNA from 1 species